rnacentral:misc_RNA from 1 species
GAUGAAGAACGCAGCGAAAUGCGAUAAGUAAUGUGAAUUGCAGAAUUCAGUGAAUCAUCGAAUCUUUGAACGCACAUUGCGCCCCCUGGUAUUCCGGGGGGCAUGCCUGUUCGAGCGUCAUUUCACCACUCAAGCCUCGCUUGGUAUUGGGCAACGCGGUCCGCCGCGUGCCUCAAAUCGACCGGCUGGGUCUUCUGUCCCCUAAGCGUUGUGGAAACUAUUCGCUAAAGGGUGUUCGGGAGGCUACGCCGUAAAACAACCCUAUUUCUAAGGUUGACCUCGGAUCAGGUAGGGAUACCCGCUGAACUUAAGCAUAUCAAUAAGCGGAGGA